rnacentral:rRNA from 1 species
AUUGAACGCUUGCGGCAGGCCUAACACAUGCAAGUCGAACGAGUGGCGGACGGGUGAGUAAUGUCUGGGAAACUGCCUGAUGGAGGGGUAUAACUACUGGAACCGGUAGCUGAUACCGCAUACCAUCAGCUGUGCCCAGAUGGGCUUAGCUAGUUGGUGGGGGAACGGCUCACCAAGGCGACGAUCCCUAGCUGGUCUGAGAGGAUGAACAGCCACCCGGUAACGGAGACACGGUCCAGACUCCUACGGUAGGCAGCAGUGGGGAAUAUUGCACAAUGGGCGCAAGCCUGAUGAAGCCAGGCCGGGUGUAUGAAGAAGGCCUUCGGGUUGUAAAGUACUUUCAGCGGGGAGGCGUUACCCGCAGAAGAAGCACCGGCUAACUCCGUGCCAGCAGCCGCGGUAAUAC